CCACCCACAGCCAUCCACAGCAGCCGCGACCACCACCGCGUUCUGCUUCUACCUGAGCCCGCCUCGUCGUCGCCGAGCUCGCGGAGCCCGCCUCCUCGUCGCCAAAAGUCGCCGACACCGCGUCUUCACUCGCCGCCGAUUUUGGAUUUGGAUUCGCUUCUGAAGUCAUGACAAAUUCCUCGCCUAAUUCAAUCAAUCAUGUCAUUCACAAAUCCCUCGCCCAAUUCAAUCAAUCAUGGCAUUCACGGACAUGUUCCUGCAUUGAAGUAUUUUUUUUUGUUAAUCUAUGUAAGGCAGAGGUGUGCGUGCUCUGAGUCACAAAGGGUGUUGAACAGAACUUUGGAAAGGAGAUUAAGGAAAUGAUGAGUGGGCACUCGAAAGAGAAGGUUAUAGUUCAUGACACUGCUGUGCUUGGCAGGCCAAACGUGUCUGAGAUGAGUGUCAAUGCUGCCAACAACUUUGGUGCUCAAGUCGUCAUUGUCACAAGCAAUCCUCAAGGAAGCAGAGAUGUUGUCAAUGCAUGCAAAGCUAAUGGAAUUGCAGCCUUUGGUCCCAUUUGGGAUUCCUAGUUCUUCCAUCU